UGUUGGUUCUCCCGCAACGCGACUCUGUUUACCAGGUCAGGUCCGGAAGGAAGCAGCCAAGGCAGAUGACGCGUGUGCCGGGAUGUAGCUGGCAGGG
rnacentral:SRP_RNA from 1 species